CCUACGGGAGGCAGCAGUGAGGAAUAUUGGUCAAUGGACGCAAGUCUGAACCAGCCAUGCCGCGUGCAGGAUGACGGCUCUAUGAGUUGUAAACUGCUUUUGUACGAGGGUAAACCCCGAUACGUGUAUCGUUUUGAAAGUAUCGUACGAAUAAGGAUCGGCUAACUCCGUGCCAGCAGCCGCGGUAAUACGGAGGAUCCGAGCGUUAUCCGGAUUUAUUUGGUUUAAAGGGUGCGUAGGCGGUUUGAUAAGUUAGCGGUGAAAUGUCGGGGCUCAACCCCGAAACUGCCUCUAAUACUGUUGGACUAGAGAAUAGUUGCGGUAGGCGGAAUGUAUGGUGUAGCGGUGAAAUGCUUAGAGAUCAUACAGAACACCGAUUGCGAAGGCAGCUUACCAAACUAUAUCUGACGUUGAGGCACGAAAGCGUGGGUAGCAAACAGGAUUAGAUACCCUUGUAGUC
rnacentral:rRNA from 1 species